UACAGAGGUCCCAAGCGUUGUUCGGAUUCAUUGGGCGUAAAGGGUGUGUAGGUGGCGCCGUAAGUCGGGUGUGAAACCUCCAGGCUCAACCUGGAGACGCCACCCGAUACUGCUAUAGCUUGAGUCCGGUAGGGGAGCGUGGAAUUCCUGGUGUAGCGGUGAAAUGCGCAGAUAUCAGGAGGAACACCAGCGGCGAAGGCGGCGCUCUGGGCCGGUACUGACACUGAGGAGCGAAAGCGUGGGGGAGCAAACAGG
rnacentral:rRNA from 1 species